CUUUUUGGACCAUCUGGAAACCUUCUGAACCAGACUUUGAUUGACCUGUCACCUCCUGGGAUCCAGUACUCUGUCAAGAGCACACGCCUGGAAGACGAUGCGCUGAUCUUUGAGCUGAGUGUAAGUACUGGCCAAAAAUCACAGUCAUAGUUAGAAGAAACUCCAUGGACCAUCUAGUCCAACCCCUUUCUAUGCAGGAAAAGCACAAUCAAAU
rnacentral:lncRNA from 11 species